rnacentral:rRNA from 1 species
UUAAGUUGCAGGGUAUAGACCCGAAACCCGGUGAUCUAGCCAUGGGCAGGUUGAAGGUUGGGUAACACUAACUGGAGGACCGAACCGACUAAUGUUGAAAAAUUAGCGGAUGACCUGUGGCUGGGGGUGAAAGGCCAAUCAAACCGGGAGAUAGCUGGUUCUCCCCGAAAGCUAUUUAGGUAGCGCCUCGUGAAUUCAUCUCCGGGGGUAGAGCACUGUUUCGGCUAGGGGGCCAUCCCGGCUUACCAACCCGAUGCAAACUGCGAAUACCGGAGAAUGUUAUCACGGGAGACACACGGCGGGUGCUAACGUCCGUCGUGAAGAGGGAAACAACCCAGACCGCCAGCUAAGGUCCCAAAGUCAUGGUUAAGUGGGAAACGAUGUGGGAAGGCCCAGACAGCCAGGAUGUUGGCUUAGAAGCAGCCAUCAUUUAAAGAAAGCGUAAUAGCUCACUGGUCGAGUCGGCCUGCGCGGAAGAUGUAACGGGGCUAAACCAUGCACCGAAGCUGCGG